rnacentral:miRNA from 1 species
UGAGGUAGUAGGAUGUAGA